rnacentral:rRNA from 1 species
AGUGAACGCUGGCGGUAGGCCUAACACAUGCAAGUCGAACGGCAGCACAGUAAGAGCUUGCUCUUACGGGUGGCGAGUGGCGGACGGGUGAGGAAUACAUCGGAAUCUACUUUUUCGUGGGGGAUAACGUAGGGAAACUUACGCUAAUACCGCAUACGACCUACGGGUGAAAGCAGGGGAUCUUCGGACCUUGCGCGAUUGAAUGAGCCGAUGUCGGAUUAGCUAGUUGGCGGGGUAAAGGCCCACCAAGGCGACGAUCCGUAGCUGGUCUGAGAGGAUGAUCAGCCACACUGAAACUGAGACACGGUCCAGACUCCUACGAGAGGCAGCAGUGGGGAAUAUUGGACAAUGGGCGCAAGCCUGAUCCAGCCAUACCGCGUGGGUGAAGAAGGCCUUCGGGUUGUAAAGCCCUUUUGUUGGGAAAGAAAAGCAGCAGGUUAAUACCCCGCUGUUCUGACGGUACCCAAAGAAUAAGCACCGGCUAACUUCGUG